AGAAAAGUGGCUGAGAGGUUUAAAGCACCAAUUUGCUAGUUUGGUAUAUAAUUAAAUUUUAUAUCAAGGGUUCGAAUCCCUUCUUUUCUG
rfam:Toxoplasma gondii VEG unlocalized apicoplast scaffold scaffold00504, whole genome shotgun sequence.